rnacentral:rRNA from 1 species
GACGAAGGGGGCUAGCGUUGCUCGGAAUCACUGGGCGUAAAGGGUGCGUAGGCGGGUCUUUUAAGUCAGGGGUGAAAUCCUGGAGCUCAACUCCAGAACUGCCUUUGAUACUGAAGAUCUUGAGUUCGGGAGAGGUGAGUGGAACUGCGAGUGUAGAGGUGAAAUUCGUAGAUAUUCGCAAGAACACCAGUGGCGAAGGCGGCUCACUGGCCCGAUACUGACGCUGAGGCACGAAAGCGUGGGGAGCAAACAGG